CCUACGGGAGGCAGCAGUGGGGAAUUUUGGACAAUGGGCGCAAGCCUGAUCCAGCAAUGCCGCGUGAGUGAAGAAGGCCUUCGGGUUGUAAAGCUCUUUUGUCAGGGAAGAAACGGUUCGGGUUAAUACCUUGGGCUAAUGACGGUACCUGAAGAAUAAGCACCGGCUAACUACGUGCCAGCAGCCGCGGUAAUACGUAGGAUGCAAGCGUUAAUCGGAAUUACUGGGCGUAAAGCGUGCGCAGGCGGUUGUGCAAGACAGAUGUGAAAUCCCCGGGCUCAACCUGGGAAUUGCAUUUGUGACUGUACGGCUAGAGUGUGUCAGAGGGGGGUAGAAUUCCACGUGUAGCAGUGAAAUGCGUAGAGAUGUGGAGGAAUACCGAUGGCGAAGGCAGCCCCCUGGGAUAACACUGACGCUCAUGCACGAAAGCGUGGGGAGCAAACAGGAUUAGAUACCCUGGUAGUCCACGCCCUAAACGAUGUCUACUAGUUGUCGGGUCUUUAUUGACUUGGUAACGCAGCUAACGCGUGAAGUAGACCGCCGUGGGGAGUAACGGUCGCAAGAUUAAACUUCAAAGGAAUUGACGG
rnacentral:rRNA from 1 species